AAACUCAUCUGAAAUAUCUUUGUAUGCUAUUGAAGAAAGAAAUCAUUGUUCGUGGAGAGUUCUUAUUCUUGAUUUAAUUAUGAGAAAGCUUCUUGCACCUCCUUCUUGCAGUUACUUGCAGUGCCUGGGCUCUUAUUCCCCAACCCCUGCAAAGACAGACAACUAUCUGUGUAAUGAGGUGAAGACUAGAAGAGAUUUGGCCUUUAUUGUGUUUUGAAAGCAGAUUCCCCAGGACUGAGUCCCCAGCAAGAAUCAGCUAAAAGCUCUGGAAACAGAAGGGGAGCUGAAGAAACCUGCCUUCCCUAGUCCUUUUGAUAUCUCUAUGGGCAACCAAAACUGUGAACAUGCUUCAAAAACAGCUUCAGCCUGGCCCAGCCUUGGCUGUUGCAGUCAUUUGAGUACUGAACCAGUGGAUGACAUCACUCAAUAUAAAAGUUAUUUCAUGUAAGUUUUUAAAAUACCAGCUAAAUGUGAUCUUCAACUUAUAACAAUCUAUUUGCCAUGUUUUCCGGGACAUUAUAUACACUGUGGAAAUUAUUAUUUUUAAUAAAUUAAAUG